AGAGUUUGAUCAUGGCUCAGAUUGAACGCUGGCGGCAGGCCUAACACAUGCAAGUCGAGCGGUAGCACAGAGAGCUUGCUCUCGGGUGACGAGCGGCGGACGGGUGAGUAAUGUCUGGGAAACUGCCUGAUGGAGGGGGAUAACUACUGGAAACGGUAGCUAAUACCGCAUAACGUCGCAAGACCAAAGUGGGGGACCUUCGGGCCUCAUGCCAUCAGAUGUGCCCAGAUGGGAUUAGCUAGUAGGUGGGGUAACGGCUCACCUAGGCGACGAUCCCUAGCUGGUCUGAGAGGAUGACCAGCCACACUGGAACUGAGACACGGUCCAGACUCCUACGGGAGGCAGCAGUGGGGAAUAUUGCACAAUGGGCGCAAGCCUGAUGCAGCCAUGCCGCGUGUGUGAAGAAGGCCUUCGGGUUGUAAAGCACUUUCAGCGGGGAGGAAGGCGNCGAUUGACGUUACCCGCAGAAGAAGCACCGGCUAACUCCGUGCCAGCAGCCGCGGUAAUACGGAGGGUGCAAGCGUUAAUCGGAAUUACUGGGCGUAAAGCGCACGCAGGCGGUCUGUCAAGUCGGAUGUGAAAUCCCCGGGCUCAACCUGGGAACUGCAUUCGAAACUGGCAGGCUAGAGUCUUGUAGAGGGGGGUAGAAUUCCAGGUGUAGCGGUGAAAUGCGUAGAGAUCUGGAGGAAUACCGGUGGCGAAGGCGGCCCCCUGGACAAAGACUGACGCUCAGGUGCGAAAGCGUGGGGAGCAAACAGGAUUAGAUACCCUGGUAGUCCACGCCGUAAACGAUGUCGAUUUGGAGGUUGUGCCCUUGAGGCGUGGCUUCCGGAGCUAACGCGUUAAAUCGACCGCCUGGGGAGUACGGCCGCAAGGUUAAAACUCAAAUGAAUUGACGGGGGCCCGCACAAGCGGUGGAGCAUGUGGUUUAAUUCGAUGCAACGCGAAGAACCUUACCUGGUCUUGACAUCCACAGAACUUNNNNNNNNNNNNNNNNNNNNNNUUGGUGCCUUCGGGAACUGUGAGACAGGUGCUGCAUGGCUGUCGUCAGCUCGUGUUGUGAAAUGUUGGGUUAAGUCCCGCAACGAGCGCAACCCUUAUCCUUUGUUGCCAGCGGUCCGGCCGGGAACUCAAAGGAGACUGCCAGUGAUAAACUGGAGGAAGGUGGGGAUGACGUCAAGUCAUCAUGGCCCUUACGACCAGGGCUACACACGUGCUACAAUGGCAUAUACAAAGAGAAGCGACCUCGCGAGAGCAAGCGGACCUCAUAAAGUAUGUCGUAGUCCGGAUUGGAGUCUGCAACUCGACUCCAUGAAGUCGGAAUCGCUAGUAAUCGUAGAUCAGAAUGCUACGGUGAAUACGUUCCCGGGCCUUGUACACACCGCCCGUCACACCAUGGGAGUGGGUUGCAAAAGAAGUAGGUAGCUUAACCUUCGGGAGGGCGCUUACCACUUUGUGAUUCAUGACUGGGGUGAAGUCGUAACAAGGUAACCGUAGGGGAACCUGCGGUUGGAUCACCU
rnacentral:rRNA from 1 species